GGAAGAGACGGGCAAUCACCACUCACUCGUGGACAGUGUGCUGAGAGAAGAGCUUGCUGAGAGACCAUUUAUUUUGCUUAUUGAGCCUCAGGUUAUGUAAUAGAAGGCAGAUAACAGCCUCAAAGGUUUAUGGAAACAGGCACAUCAUUUUGCUGUCUAUGCCAACACAAGUAUUUGUCAUACUUCUUGCUUAUUACUGAAGUAAAGUGCCACCAAUGAGGAAAGCGCCAGAGAUAUUUAGAAACUGGCAACGUGAUCCAACUCGAAUACCUCUGGGCUGUCUGCAGCGAUACUUGGAAACUUCCAGCAAAUGAUCAAAGGGACAGCCUAUUGGCUUAGCGUGAGUGCUGCAACUGAUAAACACCUAAAACUGUGGACUCGGCAAGCUGCACAAAUCAGGGAAUGACUUGCUUCACAGCAGAUGCAGGGAAAAUGUCCCUUGCUCAAUAUGCUUAUGCUGGAUAAUAUAUUUUAAUGCUUGUU